GUCCUCAGCACACAGCUGCUUAAACCAGAAUUGUGUAGCGCUUGCCAGCAUUAAGGAACUUCCUGUUUUUAAUGGGAAAACGAAAAAGGUGAACUAUUUACUGGUUCGGAAGCGUUGGAGUAAUAUUUUCUGUGCUAGUUUCGAUAGUCAUAUCCAGAGCGACAUUCUUGUGGAUUUUACCCAUUUAUUCAAUGGUGCUCCAUCAUCUCAGCAUUUUUCAUUGGCAAUCGCAUAUGGUGAGAUUGUCUUUGGUUCCGCUUACAUGAAAAGUGUUCUGAAAUUAUCUUUUUUAAAUUAAUAAAAAGUGUUGAAAUUAUCUUUAAAAUUAAUAAAAGUCUUAAACUGGACAAAAGAA
rnacentral:lncRNA from 1 species